UACGGAGGGUGCGAGCGUUAAUCGGAAUUACUGGGCGUAAAGCGCUUGUAGGUGGAUAAAUAAGUCAGAUGUGAAAGGCCAGGGCUCAACCUUGGGAGUGCAUUUGAAACUGUGUAUCUAGAGUAUGGUAGAGGGUAGAGGAAUUUCCGGUGUAGCGGUGAAAUGCGUAGAGAUCGGAAGGAACACCAGUGGCGAAGGCGUCUACCUGGACUGAUACUGACACUGAGAAGCGAAAGCGUGGGUAGCAAACAGG
rnacentral:rRNA from 1 species